CUCCUGAGUAGCUAGGACUACAGGUGUGCGCCAUGAUGCGUGGUGUGUUUUCUUUUUGAGAUGAAGUCUCACUCUGUUGCAGUGAGCCAAGAUCGUGCCAUUGCACUCCAGCCUGGGUAACAGAGCGAGACUCCGUCUCAAAAAAAUAAAAAAUAAGGGAGGACAUUAACAAGAUAGAGAAACUUAAGCUCGUAUUUGAGGUUAUAGGACUAUUACAUAUGAGAUAGAAAUAGGAGUCUUCAGGUACUGUCUGUCCAUAGCUUUAGAACAUCACAUAUUCCUAAAUAAGAGUUAACAGACUUAGGCCCUGGAAAGUUAGUCCUUCUACAGCUUCUUUUUUUUUUUAACUGCUCCUUGUGGAGCAGGGAUACCCUAUAGGUAGUGUGCCCAGAGUAGCCCUUGAACUUCUGCUGCACAUAUUAUUACCCUGGUUUUAGAAAAAGAAGGAAAUCAUCUUUUUUUGUUUUUUCUUUCUCCAAAUGGUCUCACUGCUGGAGUGCAGUGGCACGAUCAUGGCGCACUGCAGCCUUGACCUCCCUGGGCUCAGUAAUCCUCCACCUCAGCUUCCUGAGGAGUAGAUGGAAUCACAGGCACACACCACCAUGCCC
rnacentral:lncRNA from 10 species